AGAUCCAAGAAAUAUGUCUUAAAAUUAGUGUAGGUAAAAACCACCUUCACCAGAAUUAUAUGUCUCAAAUCCAUUUUGCUCAGGCUUCCCGAUACUGACCACAACAGUAUUUGCUUCUCCACCAUACCUGUCCAGCAGCGGGAUUUUCAAUUGUGAAUCUCUUUGGUUGAAAUUUUCUCUCCAACCAAGGAAAACAGCUUCUUCUAUUUCUCUUUCACCUUCACUACAACUGCCAUGUGACUAUCCUCAAUUUUAAAAUUUAAUUUGAAAAAAUGGAAAUGAGAAAGGCCUAAUGAGAUUGAUUGCUAUACAGAACCAGAGCUCCAUAGCAGAGAAACUUUCAAAUUAAGAGGUGGGUCCACUCCACAAAAAUAUCUUCAAAGCAAAACCAAGCAAAAAAAUAAUCAGUGACGGUACGGUGGUGGAUUUGCAACCGUGGUGGCUCGGCAGCGGCAACGUGUUAGCAGAGAGGCUAUGGUGUUGAACGGCAGUUUCCGUCGACUUCAGAGCAGUAGCGAGGGAGGCCGAUGUUCAAAAUUCAGCGGCGAUGAUUUGGGGAGAAUUGAGAGCUACGACGACUCUCGAAGGCAUGCAACAGCGCGACAUUGAAAAUCGAGAAAAGAAUGGGGGUUUCCGACAGCGGCGACUGACGCUGCUCGAGCACGGCUCAACGGCGACAAAGUAGAUUUGGAGAGGAGGAGGGGAGUUUGUUCCGUUGAGAUUGAGAGGGAAGAGAGAGAAACAAAGUGAUAUUAGGAUUUAGGAGAAAAAAAUACGGAUACGAGUACGGAGACCCGGAUUGGGCCAGUUACAGAUUUGGUUGGGGUACGACCGGGGUGUACGGUACACUCGGGUGUACAUAAGAUUUUGUGAUUUUGUAAUUGCUUUUUUUAUCAUAUAAAUUUUAAAUAUAUUAAUUUUUAAUUAUUACUCCAUCCGUUCCACUCCUUUUGUCCCACUGAAAGUAACCUGUAUUCCAUUUUGGGCCGUCCCACUAUAAGUGGUCUAUUUUCAUAAAUGACAAAGUUUAACCC
rnacentral:lncRNA from 1 species